AUCGCACAGUCCCUGGCUACAGAGAGACUCAAAGGCACAUGGAAAGGAGCAGAGAGAAAAAUCAUGAAAUACAAUUGCUGAAUCAAUAAGAAAUAAACACUUAUGAGGCACCUGAGACACACUGAAAAUCUGAACUCCAGAAAUUUUGAACAAAUGGACACACCCAUCAUGUUCUCCUCUCAAGGAAAAGGAAUGCUCCCUGCAAGAAAAAGCAGCCUAAAUAGACCACAAAUAACAUGCUUCUUGAUGGAGCAGUCCAUUCCGGCCUGA